rnacentral:rRNA from 1 species
CGGGUGGUAAUGCCGGAUGCUCCAGCUGACCGCAUGGUUCUGUCUGGGAAAGCUUUCGCGGUAUGGGAUGGGGUCGCGUCCUAUCAGCUUGACGGCGGGGUAACGGCCCACCGUGGCUUCGACGGGUAGCCGGCCUGAGAGGGCGACCGGCCACAUUGGGACUGAGAUACGGCCCAGACUCCUACGGGAGGCAGCAGUGGGGAAUAUUGCACAAUGGGCGCAAGCCUGAUGCAGCGACGCCGCGUGAGGGAUGGAGGCCUUCGGGUUGUAAACCUCUUUUAUCGGGGAGCAAGCGAGAGUGAGUUUACCCGUUGAAUAAGCACCGGCUAACUACGUGCCAGCAGCCGCGGUAAUACGUAGGGUGCAAGCGUUAUCCGGAAUUAUUGGGCGUAAAGGGCUCGUAGGCGGUUCGUCGCGUCCGGUGUGAAAGUCCAUCGCUUAACGGUGGAUCCGCGCCGGGUACGGGCGGGCUUGAGUGCGGUAGGGGAGACUGGAAUUCCCGGUGUAACGGUGGAAUGUGUAGAUA